rnacentral:lncRNA from 1 species
UAAGACCUCUCCUGGGUUUUACAAGAACAGAGGUUCGGGAAUAUUGCGACCUCUUAGGAUUACCUCUGUGGCCCGAUCCGAGCAACAUGUCGCUCGAGAUCGACCGCAACCGCAUCCGUCACCAGCUCCUCCCCUACCUGCGAGAGAAUUUUAACGACUCAGUGGACAAGUCCCUAGCGCGGUGUGCGGAAAUCCUCCAUGCUGAACAACAGUAUCUCGACAGCAUUUGCAAUAACAUCUUGAAGAAGGCGGAGACUGAGGACGCUGAUGGGAGAAAACUCGACAUUAUGAUCAUGCAAUCCCUGCCUGUUGCAUUGCAACGUCGAGUGCUCAAACAAUUUGUUGAGAAUUUUACUGGCAGGAGUUUAGGGUUCGACCAUGUGGAGCGCUUGCGAACUGCUUAUUCCCUCUCAGGUGACUCCCGCAGUGCAUCCAAUGGCGUUAGCCUCGCAUUGCCAGGAAAUGCCUCGGUGAAGUUACUGAAAUCCUACUUCCAUUUGACCCGAACAAAGCAAAUUUAACUACUCUCACAUCACGACCAUCACAUGCUUCUGCUACAACAAAUCACUUGAGUACCAAGUGCGCUAUUACUUCACUCCGAACUCGACUCUCUUUCUGUCACUGAUUUCUGUAUUCUUGCAUUUUAUUGUUCCCUUAUCGCAUUUUUCUCCUCUGUGAUUGCCCGCACUUAAAUUGCUGGCGUAGGUAUUUUGACAAUGACACGAUGCGAGUAAAGUGGGUGCCAAAGACAAACAUUUGAUGGUGCCACUACAGGAUGAAAGUGUGAUAAGCAGCCUCCAGAAAAUUAACGACCUUAGUCAUCGGCCGAGUACGUACCCUUGCGAAGGAGCUUGUCACAUCUUAGAGAAUGUGCAUACAGAAGAGUGAGGAUCCUGAUACAUACCAAAAGCUUUUACGUACUACUACUGAUACCAAUUUUUAUUUUAUCAAUUUAAGAUAAGAAAUUCAAACAAUUUGCGACCGUCAUGCAUUGGAGCAGAUGUCUUCUCACCAAAAGCUCCUCUCAGUUUUCUUUUAAAAAUACGUCGAAUAUUUCACAUGAAACAGUACAGGAGUAGCGAGUGAGUAACCCCUCGUUAAAGUCUGCACUACAAAGUUCGGAAAUUGUCUGAAUUGCUUGCGUAGCUUAAUUGUCGCCAGGGACAUUGAACAUGAAUUUCUCGCUACGAAGCAAAGAAUUCCUACAGCUUCUCUAUUUGAAAGAGUUCCACGGCGCAUCCUGUAAUGUCCGAAUCGGUUCGCUCACGGAACCCGUCAAAUUGUAUGUGCAACAGUCCUACCUCUUGAGGUUUACAGUGCUGCCCCC